rnacentral:rRNA from 1 species
GACGAACGCUGGCGGCGUGCCUAAUACAUGCAAGUCGAGCGGACGAAUCGAAAGCUUGCUUUUGAUUCGUUAGCGGCGGACGGGUGAGUAACACGUGGGCAACCUGCCCUGUAGACGGGGAUAACACCGAGAAAUCGGUGCUAAUACCGGAUAACACGAAAUGUCGCAUGACGUUUCGUUGAAAGACGGCGCAAGCUGUCGCUACAGGAUGGGCCCGCGGCGCAUUAGCUAGUUGGUGAGGUAACGGCUCACCAAGGCGACGAUGCGUAGCCGACCUGAGAGGGUGAUCGGCCACACUGGGACUGAGACACGGCCCAGACGCCUACGGGAGGCAGCAGUAAGGAAUCUUCCGCAAUGGACGAAAGUCUGACGGAGCAACGCCGCGUGAGCGAAGAAGGCCUUCGGGUCGUAAAGCUCUGUUGUUAGGGAAGAACAAGUAACGCAGUAACUGGCGUUACCGUGACGGUACCUAACGAGAAAGCCACGGCUAACUACGU